rnacentral:lncRNA from 1 species
GAACCAUGCAAACAAAAUUAAAUUAUUUCCCUGCUCGAAACAUGAUGGUGUCUCUCCAUCCACUUAGAAAACGAUCGGACCUUUCCUGGCCUACAACACCCUGUGUGCUCUGAACCCUUCUUACUUCCCCUUUGACCGUAUUACCUCCCACCACCUGCUUUGGUUGGUGAUGCUCCCACCACAUUUAUCUUGGGAUGUCCUUAGAUGUCCUCUCCCUGGGGUUCUCGCCCUGUGUUGCCCUCUCAACUUGACCCUGACUUGGCCAUGAGACAAGAGCCAUGUGGCAUCAGAGGAAGCUUGCUAAACACCACCCAGUGGGGGUCUUUCUCUGGCUGCUUGUGGAGGAAGCCUGAACCACCUACUCUUUGAAGAGUGGCCCAGGCGUUCCCACCGUGGCUCAGUGGAAACAAAUCUGACUAGCAUCCAUGAGGAUGCAGGUUCAAUCCCUAGCCUCACUCAUGGGUUAAGGAUCUCGUGUUGCCAUGAGCUGUGGUGUAGGUGGCAAAUGUGGCUCAGAUCCCGAGUCGCUGUGCCUGUGACAUAGGCUAGCAGCUACAGUUCCCAUUCAGCCUUGGAACCUCUGAGUGCUAUGGAUGCAGCCCUAAAAAGACAAAAAAAAUUUUUUUAAUUGAAGAGUGACCCUUGGCUCCAUUUGUUUCAUCAUCUCUGCCAACCUCCAGAUGCACAGUGAGCUAAGCCGUCCUGGGAGGAGCCGCCACAGCCGAGCCCAGGCCAAACGGCUGAGCUAUUGUGACCAACACACGAUGUUGUUUGUCAGUCGGUUUUGAGGUGGUGGGUCAUUGGCACUAGAUGGCUGGUCUACACCAGUCUCCUUUCCGCCUGGUCCUAUUGUCCCUCUGCCUGGGCUGACCUCUUCCUGCAUCCCGUUCAGAGGGUUCCCUUUGGUCCAUCAGAUCUCAGCUUGGCCCCACCCCCCUGACCACUGGCCCGGCUGAGUCUCAGCUCCCCUCCCUGCUGUGCCAUCAAGUUGGCCUCACAUCAGAGCGCUUACCUGAGGUGCCUUGACCACAUUUUUCAAAACAAAGACACCAUUAGCUAUAACGUAUCCCCACUUCAGCAGUGUUAAAAUGUGAAAAGAGAUACGUUUGUGGCUUAGAUGACAUACAAAAUUCAAUUGUUCAUUUUUUGUCUUUGCCGAGAACACAUAUGCUCCACGAGAGCCGGAGGUCUUGCCCUCCUCCGGUCAUUCUCCAUACUGCUGUCAAUAUUUCUAAAGUGCUAAUCCACGCACACCUCUUUUCUACUUGAAAGGCCUCUUUGGCCCCUCGUUCCUCACGGGGUGAACUCCAAAAUCCUUGCAUGGCUCACCUGCCCUUUGCGUCUGGUUUUGCCCCCAGGUCCCUCCAGAUCCAGGCCUCCCUCCGCUUUGCUCAUCCCCCGGGCAGCAGCCAUCUUCAUUCGGGUCCCAGGCCACGGAUUCCUGGCCUUACAGCCACUACCAGGAUGGCACUUGGCCUGAUGUGCCUUCCCUGCCCCUGCCACCCCUCGACAGGGCUGAUCCCUGCCAAUCAUCCAUCCCCAACCCACACAUUCUCUGCUCCCCCACCUGAUUUAACUUCCUCCAUCAUGGAAGUUAAAUGCCAAUAACUAUUUAUUGCAAUUAUGAAAUAUCUGCACAAUAGUUCAUUUAAUAUAUAUUUAUUGAGCACCUUCUAGGUACACAGUGUUGGGCACUGAGUUCACUGCAGUAAAGGAAACGGCAAAACCCCUGCCCUAAUGGGGCUUCUGCUUCAGUGAAGGCAAACAGACGUUAAAGAAGAUGAAUAAGCAAUAUGGGGAACACGGGCUAAUGAGGAAUAUGGGGAAAGUUAAGACCAAAAAAGGAAAAUAGGAAAUGCUGGUGGCCGAGGGGCUAUAAUUCUACGUGGAAAGCCCAGGAAAGGGUCCAGGGAGGGCCUGACAAGCUGGGCUCUGAUGUAGGCCCUGUGGCCUGAGACACAGCCUUCUUCCUCUCCCCCGCGGACUGAGCCAGAUGUGCUCUCAACUGGCUCACCCCUGGUGAGAGCGGCCAGGUGUCAGGGGCCAAAUCACCCAGUAUCAUCUCCAGGGACCACAGAGGUAGGGACUGAACUGUUUUUCAUAUCAGUGGGGUCUAAGCCCUGAGGCUGAGGCGGCCGAUGUGAACACAACCCACCGAUUCUUUUAACAUGUAUAACCAAAAGCCAACCGCUCACAUCCAUUUCAGACAUAGCAUUAGUGCAGGAGCUGCUGUAUUCGAAGCAGGAUGCUUCAACCCGCUUUACAUCUUAGGCCCAUAGGCAAGACUUUGGAGUCUGAUGACCAAAGAGGCGGACUACAAAGCAGAAGGAGAUUAUCGGAGCUGAACCUCGCCGAGACACCUGGGACGGGGAACAAUGAAGGGGAUUCAUGUCAACAUGGACAUGACAGGUAUCUAAUACUUUCCUGAAAGUAGGUUUUGUAAAAGUGGGAGAGAAUAGGAGAGCCUUGAGUGUUUAAAUGUGAAAUGGAGAUGGGGGAGGGGGGAUGCAAAGCACACCUCUGUCAAUGUCUACACUUUAUUCAAGCAACUGCCCCGUUUGGCUGUUCCUCUUCUCAGCUCAAAGGGGAUCUUGGUCCAUAAUGGUCAUGUCAGUUUCUUAUUUACCAUGACUGCUGAUGGAUUGCUUUUCCUCCAGGUACGAUGUAUGAUGUUUUUAUGAUGCUGUUCAAAACUGCCUGCAUUUAUUCAUAUGUAUUUAUAUUUAUCCAACACAAAAUCAGUGCACUGUGAUAAGGUCUACAGAGAUGGAUAAAUGAGGUGCUUGGCUUAUAAAUCACUGGCUUCCAAACUUGACUGUGCAUCUGAAAAGGCAAUACAUACAGUUAAUAAUAAUUUAACCAUCAUAAUGUUUAUGUAAUUAAAACACAGGAACACCUGUAAGUUAAUAGUUUGGCGACCAUCUUUCCAGAAACAUUGAUAUUUUGCAUGUUUUCUCUCUGUUUUUCGUACAUUGAUUUAUUAUUUAGAUAGUUUUAAAAUACAUUUCAGGAGGUUCUGAAGCAGCAGGUUAAGGAUCUGGCAUUGCCUCAGCUAUGGCACAGACUGAAACUGUGGCGUGGAUUCGAUUCCUUGCCCAGGAAAUUCCACAGGCCAUGCGUGUGCCCCCCCCCAAAGAAAUACAUUUCUGAUAGGAAGAUAAAGCCUUCUUCAUUAUAAAUCUUAAAAAAUAUGUAAGAUCAUAGUCAUAAUCAAAAUUUCUGAACCUUUGAACAAAGCACGAUUUUGUUAAAUUCUUAAUAAAACUAAGUGAUAGGUACUUAGCUUUUAAACUGGUUUUGCUGCAUUAAACAGUGCCAUGUUUAGCAUCUUUGUGUAUUCAUUUUCCAAAUGUGAAAUUGUUACACUACCCUAAGGCAAGGCUGCGCCCACCAACAUUACAAAAGCCUCACCUGUGAAGGAAAUCAUGGUGUUUUGUGGUUCAAGUACAGUCGAUUAUUGUUGCUGUGUUUCUUCUGAUUUUCUGUAUAUGUUCGCAGAAAUUGGACGUGGCACUGGCUAGAGGAAUAAUUGUUUUCUAUUACAGUAUGCUCUUAUUUCUAAAGCAGCAACUUCAUAUGAAUCGAAGAUAGAAAGAAGGAAAAUAUGUCUAAUUUGGGGCAUAGAUCCAUGCUCAAUUUUGAAGCAAAGACCCUAAAAGUGAAAAGACUGCAGACAGCAGCUAAUGGCAUGAGUGGGUCUGAUGUCUGUGUGGUGGGGACGGCCUUACACUUUGUUUUGCUAAUGCAAAUAGCAGGAGCAACCAAAAGAGCAGCUAAUGCGGCUUUAGGCUAAAUACAGCAAUUCCUCUUCUUUAACAGGAAGUACCUUGGAGUAAGAGAGAAGUAACUUGAAUUCACCAGUGGAACCAGGGUUCGAUCUAGGUUUGACAGAGCCAUGCUCUUGACCUUAGUUACCUUGACUUUGAUACUUUAUAGAUAUGAAAAUGAAAACAAGCUCUUAAGGGUGUAUUAAACAAAAGGAAUUUUUUUGUUGUUGUCUUUUGUCUUUUCUAGGGCUGCACCUGAUGCAUAUGGAAGUUGCCAGGCCAGGGGCAGGGGUCUAAUAGGAGCUAUAGCUGCCGGCCUGCACCAUAGCCACAGCAAUGCAGGAUCCGAGCUGUGUCUUCGACCUACACCACAGCUUACGAUAACGCCGGAUCCUUGAUCCACUGAGCGAGGCCAAGGAUUGAACCUGCAACCUCAUGGUUCCUAGUGGGAUUCAUUAAACAUUUGGCCACUCCAGGAACUUCUGAAACAAAAGGAAUUUUAUUUGAGUAAGAUACUAAGGUAUUGAUACCUAGACAAUCAUUUUUUUUUUAAUUUAAAGGACAUAUGCAUUAAUUGCUUAUUUAUUUAUUCAAAAAUAUGUGCUUUUGCUUCAUAUUUGCAGUCACCUGAACAUGUGCUGGUGAUUGAGACAGAUGUGGGCCAGGCUUUCAUAAAAGUGUUGGCCUGAGGAAGGGCCAGCAGGGCAGCAGACCGCUGUAGAACCACGAGGAGAAGGCUCAGGUGAGGUUUGAACCUUAAGUCCAGGAUUAUCCUUAAAGCAGAUGAAAGCUAAAUAGAAGUGGUUAACUUCACAUCUUAAAAACAAAAUUGUGGCAUUCCUGUGGUGGCUCAGGGGGUUAAGAACCCAACUAGUAUCCAUGAGGAUGCAGGUUUGAUCACUGGCCUUGCUCAGUGGGUUAAGGAGCUGGUAUUGCCAUGAGCUGUGGUGUAGGUCACAGAUGCGGCUCAGAUCUGGUAUUGCUGCGGCUGUGGCGUCAGCCUGCCACUGCAGCUCCAGUUCGACCCCAAGCCUGGGAACUUUCAUACGCCAUGGGUGCCAUUCUAAAAAGACAAAACGAACAAACAAACAAACAAACAAAAAUUGAGUCUUAACUUAGAAUCCUACUGGAAAUACUAGACAACUGUGACAUCCAAGGUUCAUGGAUAAGUUAUUUUUUAUUUUCUAGCUGGCCUCCUGGUAUGAGCAGAAUUUCAGAUAAAGCUUAGGAAAAUAUGCAGCUUUUGGGAACUUGGCAGUUUUCUUUAGUUUAGUGUUUCUCAUAAUUUAUGGAUCUCCUGGGAAAGUUGUUUCUCUCCGGUUUCUGGGAUUUGCUAGAACUUUGUAGACAUCUUCUGACAGGCAGCUUUCAGAGAGAUAAAAAUUUCCAAAAGCUAUAUUUUAACCUUUUUACUGAAGUCCCUUGAUACUAGGUUUCCCAGCUGCUGAGCCAGAUGCAUGUAAAUGGGCUUCACUGUGCAGACUGGGUGUGGCCAGUGGGGAUGUUCACGGCCAGCUCUGCCUCCUAAGAGCCCCUGGGGAAUGGCCUUGUCCCUUGGGUACCAGUGAUCUCCUAGUGAAAAGGAUUAGUCCUGUUUUUGCUGGGGAUGUCCACUGUCUGACAAAGUGGCUGCUCGAUGAUUCUGGGUGGAAUGAGGGACAUGUCUAUCUGAGAAGACUUUAAAAGACAGAAAGUUACAGCAGAAAUCAUUACAACCUUUGUAAAUCAACUAUACUGCAAUAAAACUUGAAAAAAUGAAAGAAAAAAAAGAUAGAAGGCAUUCCCGUUGUGGCUCAGCAAGUUAAGAACCCCACUAAAAUCCAUGAAGAUGUGGGUUUGAUCCCUGGCUUCGCUCAGUGGAUUAAGGAUCCAGUGUUGCCGUGAGCUGCAGUGUAGGUUGAAGAUGUGGCUCGGAUCCCAUGUGGUGUAGGCCAGCAGCUGCAGCUCCAAUUGGACCCCUAGCAGGAAUGUCUAUAUACUGCAGGUGCAGCC